CUGCAGAGCGGUAGCAUGGCCCUUGAAGUCCACCUGACUUUAUGAUGCACCAGAACAGCAUUCACAAUACAAUCAUACACCCUCUCCUCAGGACAGGAGGUGGACAGGUGGAACAACUAUUUUGCACCUAUGGGAAGAGGGAAACAAACACUGUCUUCUCCAGCAGCUCUGAAGAUGUCCAUCUACAUCCAAUGACUCAUAGAUUUUCCCUUGGCAGAGAAAAAUCUUGUCAAGCUGGUCCCUAGAAGAACGAAGUGAAGAAAUCAGAGCGAAGAAGAAACCAAGACCACCAGAUAGACCUGAUCCCACUUUUUAAAACCACUCUGUACCCUUGACAAGCUGCUCUCUGCUACAGAAGAUGUGCCAAGAGCCUGGUGACUGGUACGAGUGACCUUCCUAAGGAUUAGCCAGAGAUAUGUGACUGCCAGUGAAUAAUUCUAUUCAUUUAUUAUCUGUGAUGAACAGUAAAUCAUUCUAGUAAGAUACUUUUCCAUUCAUUCAUUGCUUGAGAACGAUUAAGAACAAAUAGCCCUUAAAAGCUUUUCCAGUGGAGCUAAGCAAAAUGUACACAGGGAGAGCCAAAAACUUUGUCCCAUUCACUUGUGGUUAAAUCAUAUCAAUAGAGUUGGACAAACAAAUAAUGGUGUGAGCACACAUAGAUGCCCCUUCAUCUUCACCCUUAUAUUUUCUGGUCUCCUGACCAUCUGUGCUCAUGCUACUAUUCUAGAAAACAUUUACCCAAACAGUAUUUUGAUCUGAUGAAGCAACAACACGGUUUUGAUAAGCACAGUUUCAGUGUAAACUAACAUACCUAUGGAUAAAAUAGAGCACUUACGUUACCCAGAUGGUUAACUAGUGAAUGUCAGUGCUAGGAUUACUUCUAAAUCUAUCCACGGCUGUAAAAAGCAGUGACUUAGGAAAGGCAGCAGGCAGCUGGAGAGGCUUUUUCCAUUCACCCACACCAUGCCAAAGUUAGGAAGAAAGAUAUCAAGGAUCUGAAUCAAGGUGUGAAUCAACAUCCCAUGUCAUGCUCCUCACUUCUCCUGCCAAUACAUACGAGAUAUUCCCAUGUCAUGGUGUGGCAUGAACACACCACAUUACAAAAACAUAGCUAAACCAGCUGCAAUUUGGCAGAGAAUCAAAGACCAAUGUAUCUCCAGGACUGCUGCACCAUUUCCUACAUGUAUGAGUCCCCUUCACAGGCUAAGAGAACCUAUGAUUUGGCUGCAGAAAAGGUGACUCUCCCAUUAAGGAAGUGUGAUGGCCCAGCAGCUAUCCCACAACAAGUAACUCAGCAGAUUUCAUCCUUUAUCUUUUCUAUGGGCAAUCCUAUCUAGCAAACUUUUCCCAUUCAUCUCUACCAUGACUUCUAUAUCUUUUAGGUCCUGCUUACAGAUUUAUCCCAAAGCGACUCUUCCCUCUGUAGGCAUGUCUGACAUUCAAAUAAGGGCAAAUGAAUUUCUCUUUUCUACUCUGCUUCAAAGUCAACAGAGGUCAUGUGUAUAUGACAAAAGCAGGAAACCAGUGGGGCUAUUUGCUUGAAAUGAUAAUGCUGUAUUUCACAGUCCCUUUCUUCAGAAGCAAAAUUGUUGGCAUUUUGCUAAACAUCAUAUGACUCUUCAGUAGUGAGGACUGACUACAUCUCCACUUGGAUUAAACAAAAUAAUUAACUGUUACUGAGCACAAAGAGAAAGUCACAAGGUUGCAAAGAGUAAUGCAGCUACAUGGAAGAAGAGAAGCUCUCUUUAAGCUGAUGAUUGAACUACUCAUAUAGAUAGGGCACUGGCUUCAGCACUGUACCCUUUUCUGUCUAU